GUCCACGCCGUAAACGAUGUCAACUAGCCGUUGGAAUCCUUGAGAUUUUAGUGGCGCAGCUAACGCAUUAAGUUGACCGCCUGGGGAGUACGGCCGCAAGGUUAAAACUCAAAUGAAUUGACGGGGGCCCCGCACAAGCGGUGGAGCAUGUGGUUUAAUUCGAAGCAACGCGAAGAACCUUACCUGGCCUUGACAUGCUGAGAACUUUCUAGAGAUAGAUUGGUGCCUUCGGGAACUCAGACACAGGUGCUGCAUGGCUGUCGU
rnacentral:rRNA from 1 species